CUUCACCGUAAGAGCGAUGAUAUACAUUGUACUUAAGUUAAAAGAACUCAUUGGUACAUGUCAGCGCCGGGAUUCGAACCCGCAUCGUGAGAAGGGGGCGCUUACCCGACUGAGCUACCACCGCUCGCUAAACUGUAUCGCUUAUACUACAAGAAAUUCAACAUCAUCUUGAAUUUAUUUCCACCAGAAAUAAUGCAGUUACUCCAAUGAACCAGUUGUUAUGCACACUCCGAUAUUAUGCAACUGGCAGUCAGUUAAUUACUUGUGGAGAUGUGAUAGGUGUGGAAGAACCAACAGCUUGCAGAAUCAUUCAUAGAGUUACUCAUGCAAUAGCAUUAUUGUAUAAAAUAUAUACAUUAAAUCUCCUGAUACCAUUCAGGAACAACGUUUUUUUGCUCUCUAUAAUGUGCAAGUAUGGUUCCAAUACCUACAUUGCACAAUAAAUCUUGUUCUUCCCUUGUAAAAUUAGGGGCACGAACACGAGAAGAAGCUGCUUGACUAUUCAUUUUACUUUGAAAUCACAACAACAAAUAAAUACAAACACCACCACGCGGUGAAAGCCGAAA